AUUUGGACGAAAAGUGGUGUUUCCAGUGACAAAGAGGUGAGUAAAGCAUAAGAACUUCCCUUAGAAGUGGAACAACAGCUGAAAAUGGCUGCUAAUAAUACAUAGGCUGACGAGCAAAAGGAGGAAUUUGCUCAAGGAGGGACUUAUGUCUGAUUAGCUAGUUAGUGAGGUAAUAACUUUCAAAGGCAAUGAUUAGUGGCUGGUCUAGGAGGAUUAUUAGCCACAAAGGGAUUGAGAUACAGCCCAGUUUCCUAUAGGAGGCA
rnacentral:rRNA from 1 species